UACAGAGGUGGCAAGCGUUGUUCGGAAUUACUGGGCGUAAAGGGCGCGUAGGCGGCCCACUAAGUCAGACGUGAAAUCCCCCGGCUUAACCUGGGAACUGCGUCUGAUACUGGAAGGCUUGAGGAUGGGAGAGGGAUGUAGAAUUCCAGGUGUAGCGGUGAAAUGCGUAGAUAUCUGGAGGAAUACCGGUGGCGAAGGCGGCAUCCUGGACCAUUACUGACGCUGAGGCGCGAAAGCUAGGGGAGCAAACGGG
rnacentral:rRNA from 1 species